rnacentral:rRNA from 1 species
ACAGCAGCAGCCGCGGUAAUACGUAGGUGGCAAGCGUUGUCCGGAAUUAUUGGGCGUAAAGGGCUCGCAGGCGGUUUCUUAAGUCUGAUGUGAAAGCCCCCGGCUCAACCGGGGAGGGUCAUUGGAAACUGGGAAACUUGAGUGCAGAAGAGGAGAGUGGAAUUCCACGUGUAGCGGUGAAAUGUGUAGAGAUGUGGAGGAACACCAGUGGCGAAGGCGACUCUCUGGUCUGUAACUGACGCUGAGGAGCGAAAGCGUGGGGAGCGAACAGGAUUAGAUACCCCUGUAGUCCCUGUCUCUUAUAA